AGUCGAAACGCCCCUCGGGGCGUCCGCCGUGGAAUGGCUCCCCGGCGCUGACGAUGACAGGCCAGG
rnacentral:hammerhead_ribozyme from 1 species